AUUCCUAGGACUUCUUGCCCCCGAGCAUGCUCAACUAUGGAUUUCUAACUGUAUAUAGUGCUACCUAAGAAGAUAACUUUUCGGAGACCCUAACAUCAAGGCUCGUCUUUUCCAUCAAAAAAAAAUAUAUAUCAAGGGCUGUUGUAUUUGAAAGGAAAGAAAGAAAAUUUUAGGGGUUAUUUUGCUGUAGGAAAGGGAAAUGGAGCUAUUUCCUCACGUGGCUUGAGGCAUUAUUGGUUGUGGCUCUGAUGAGGACCCAACUCAACUAUUUUUAUAAGGAGGAGGUGGGAUCGAUCGGAUGGGCCCUUCAAGGAUCCCUUCACCAAGUUCCAUCAACCCCGAGGAGAUAAGAUGCGUCCAAAGUCCCUUUAGCUGCUGUCGUGUACACAGCCAGUCCUCACAUCCCUUGCAGCCCUCCCAUUUCUCUAUCCUGAUGUUCUCUGUGCGUGUGUGAGAGCGUGCUCGCUCUCUUCUCCUCUCCUCUUCCC
rnacentral:lncRNA from 1 species